rnacentral:misc_RNA from 1 species
UGGUUCUGGCAUCGAUGAAGAACGCAGCGAAAUGCGAUAAGUAAUGUGAAUUGCAGAAUUCAGUGAAUCAUCGAAUCUUUGAACGCACAUUGCGCCCCUUGGUAUUCCGAGGGGCAUGCCUGUUCGAGCGUCAUUACAACCCAUCAAGCUCUGCUUGGCCUUGGGCUCCGCCCCCGCGAGGGGACGGGCUCUAAAGAACUCAGCGGUGCCGUGAGGCCCCGAGGCGUAGUAAAUUCUAUCCCGCUUCGUGGACCUCGCGCGUGCCCGCUUCCAAUGACCAACACCUUCUAGGUUGACCUCGGAUCAGGUAGGGAUACCCGCUGA